UUGGAAUAUAAACUUGAUUUGAAUAGAUAUUUUGUAAAGAGUAUUCUAGAUUAGUUGAGAAUGAGAUAGAGAAAAGAGAAAGAUCUAGAAUAAUUGAGAAUAAGUUAGAAUUAAGAAGAAAUAGCUAAAACUAGAAAAUUCUAGAGAAGUGUUAGGAAAAUAAUAGGUGAGAGAACUCUAGAAUCAUCUAUCUACUACUAUGUACCACUAUAAAUAUGUAACCAUGUUUUGGGAUUGUAAGUAAGCAAGCAAGUAAGGAAGUGAAUUGAAGAAAAAUUGUGUUAGUAAACAACAAUCCUCCCACUCAAAUUUCUAAGCACACAUACGUCCACAACCAAUUUCUCCAAAUUUCCUCCUACCAAUUAAAUAAAUCCUCCAUUAUAUAUACUUAUAUUCCAGCAAAGUGGUAUCCGAGCCAUAAAAUCCUACCUGUGGAAUGGCCAACCUACAAUCGUUUCAAGUCCCCAUGCUCAACAAGAGCAACUUCGACAAUUGGAGCAUCAAGAUAAAGGCGCUAUUGGGAGCCCACGACGUUUGGGAGAUCGUGGAGAACGGCUACGAGGAGCCGCGGGACGAGGCCGCACUAUCCCAACAACAAAAGGAUAGAUUGCGAGAUGCGAGAAAGAGAGACAAGAAGGCUCUCUGUCUCAUUUAUCAAGCGCUAGGGGACGACGAUUUCGAGAAAAUCUCAAAUGCGAGUACCGCCAAAGAAGCGUGGGAGAAGCUCCAGAACGCGUGCAAAGGAGCGGAGCAAGUAAAAAAGGUACGACUUCAAACCUUAAGAGGAGAGUUUGAGUCUUUGCAUAUGAAAGAGUCCGAAUCGAUUUCGGAUUAUUUUUCAAGAGUCUUGGCGGUGUCUAAUCAAAUGAAAAGAAAUGGUGAAAAAUUGGAGGAUGUAAGAAUUAUGGAGAAAAUAUUACGGUCACUAACCCCAAAGUUUGAGCACAUUGUGGUGACGAUCGAAGAAACUAAAAAUUUGGAAGAGAUGACGAUCGAUCUCUUGUUGGGGUCGUUGCAAGCAUAUGAGGAGAAGCAAAAGAAGAAGCAAGAAAUUUCAGAGCAACUUUUAAAGUUGCACGUAAGCCCGAAAGAGAAAGAAGAAGGUCCGAGCAAUGGCUAUGGAAAGUCCAAGAGAGGACGUGGCCAAGGGCAAGAUCGAGGCAGAGGCCGUGGACGUGGACGAGGACGAGGAGGCUUCGUCAACAGUAGUGAAAGAAAGGAGUUUACAAAUGGUCGAGGGAGGAGCAACCCGCAAUCGAGGUACGAUAAAUCUUCAAUAAAAUGUUAUAAUUGUCAUAAAUUUGGGCAUUAUGCUUCCGAGUGCAGAAGUGAAAAAGUAAAGAUUGAAGAAAGGGCCAAUUAUGCCGAGAACACGAGCGAAGCAAAUGGUAGUGUGCUUCUGGCAUAUAAAGGAGAAGCUGGAAGAGAUGACACGUGGUACCUCGACACCGGUGCAAGCAACCACAUGUGCGGGAAGAGAAGCAUGUUCGUGGAGCUCGAUGAGUCGGUAAGUGNAGAUGUGGAGUUCGACGAAGAAGGAGUGUGGGAUUUUAAUCCCAGUGGUGACUUCACCUUCAUCCCACAAUUCGAAGAUGAAAGGCCUGUCGAGCAAGUCGAAGAAGUCCAGCAAGAGCUAGUGACUCCGCCAGCUUCACCUAUACAAGUUACUGAUGACUCGCCACCAUCUUUCUUAAAUGAAAGAGCCACACCACGAGCAAGGAAUUUGGAUGAGAUAUAUGAAGACACUGAAAGGUUAGAAGAUCUCACCUUGUUUUGCCUAUCUGCUGAUUAUGAACCUAAAGCAGCAAAUAGUGAAAAUUGGCGAGUUGCAAUGGACGAAGAGAUCAAAGCUAUAAACAAGAAUGAUACGUGUGAGCUCGUGACACUACCGGAAAGGCACAAGGCCAUUGGAGUCAAGUGGGUGCAUAAGGUUAAGAAGAAUUUUAAAGGUGAAGUUGAAAAAUAUAAAGAAAGGCUCGUCGAGAAAGGAUUUCGCCAAGUUCGGAGUUUUGCUCAGAAUGACAAAUCAAGUUUAAGGGGGAGUGUUGGAAUAUAAACUUGAUUUGAAUAGAUAUUUUGUAAAGAGUAUUCUAGAUUAGUUGAGAAUGAGAUAGAGAAAAGAGAAAGAUCUAGAAUAAUUGAGAAUAAGUUAGAAUUAAGAAGAAAUAGCUAAAACUAGAAAAUUCUAGAGAAGUGUUAGGAAAAUAAUAGGUGAGAGAACUCUAGAAUCAUCUAUCUACUACUAUGUACCACUAUAAAUAUGUAACCAUGUUUUGAGAUUGUAAGUAAGCAAGCAAGUAAGGAAGUGAAUUGAAGAAAAAUUGUGUUAGUAAACAACAAUCCUCCCACUCAAAUUUCUAAGCACACAUACGUCCACAACCAAUUUCUCCAAAUUUCCUCCUACCA
rnacentral:lncRNA from 1 species